AAAAGAAGAAGAAGAAGAAAUCCCUGCCCACAACUUUUUUAUGAAAUUGUAAAAGCAUUUGUACUGGGUAGUUGUUUCGAAUGAAUAUUUAUUGUGUUGUAACAGUCAUUAAUGAAUUAAUAAAGAAUUUAUAAGCAUUAGGUUGCAAGGGAGAAUUAAUUAUUUUCUGUCUCCAAUAAGUGCUACAUGCAAUCUUGAUUAGAUUAUACAGAUAUUAUUCAUGGUUUUUACAUAGAUAUGAGAAUUGUGAUAGUAUUAAUUCCCAAACUAGUUGGGAUUGGCAUAGAAGAAGAAGAAGAAGAAG
rnacentral:misc_RNA from 1 species